UACGUAGGGUGCAAGCGUUAUCCGGAAUUAUUGGGCGUAAAGAGCUCGUAGGCGGUUUGUCGCGUCUGCUGUGAAAACCCGAGGCUCAACCUCGGGCCUGCAGUGGGUACGGGCAAACUAGAGUGCGGUAGGGGAGAUUGGAAUUCCUGGUGUAGCGGUGGAAUGCGCAGAUAUCAGGAGGAACACCGAUGGCGAAGGCAGAUCUCUGGGCCGUAACUGACGCUGAGGAGCGAAAGCAUGGGGAGCGAACAGG
rnacentral:rRNA from 1 species